GGCUGUCGUCAGCUCGUGUCGUAGGACGUAGGGUUAAGUCCCAUAACGAGCGCAACCCCUGUCGUCAGUUGCCAGCGGAUAAUGCCGGGGACUCUGACGAGACUGCUGGUGAAUAGCCGGAGGAAGGAGGGGAUGACGUCAAGUCAUCAUGUCCCUUAUACCCAGGGCGACACACAUGCUACAAUGGCCAGUACAAUGGGUCGCGAACCCGUAAGGGGAAGCCAAUCUCAAAAAACUGGUCUCAGUUCGGAUUGGGGUCUGCAACUCGACCCCAUGAAGUCGGAAUCGCUAGUAAUCGCAGGUCAGCCACACUGCGGUGAAUAUGUACUCGGGUCUUGUACACACCGCCCGUCACACCAACCGAGUGGGGAGCACCUAAAGUCGUUUUUCGUAAGCGCCGAAGGUGUUUUUCGCAAGGGGGGUGAAGUCGUAACAAGGUAGCCGUACCGGAAGGUGCGGCUGGAUCACCUCCUUU
rnacentral:rRNA from 1 species